GAUGUAGCUGGAGGCCAUUAUCCUAAUUAACACAGGAACAGAAAACCAAAUAUCAUAUGUUCUCACUUAUAAGCGUGACCUAAAUAAUGGAAUACAUAUGGACAGAAAGAUGAGAACAAUAGACACUUAGAGAUGUCUAAAGAAGGGAGAGGGGAGGGGAGGGAAGGGAAAAUGGGCUGAAGACCUACCUAUCAGGUAUUAUGCUCAGUACCUGUGUGACAGGAUCAUCUAUAUUCCAAACCUCAGCAUCAUGCAAUAUACUCAUGUAACAAAUUUGCUCAGGUACUCCUGAAUCUAAAAUAAGAAAUUAUUUUUAAAAUAUAUACAUAGGCUUAAAACUAAAGAAUAAAUCAUUUUAAAUCAGAGAUAUGCAUGUCUGAGUAUAUAUACAGUUACAUAUUGGAAUACUUUUCUAACGAAAAGAGUAAAAUCUGUUUUUCCAAAAUAUCUUUUUAAAAAGAGGAAUUUACAAGUUUAUAUUUUAAUUAUACUCAAAUUAUAGCCAGAAAAAAAUUUCAGUCAGUGGAUAGUGUUCCAUAACCUAGUGUCUGCAAAGCAACUAUUUUAAUAUUUCUAGUAUUAAAAUUUUAAUAUUCAGUUAGGUUUGUGGAUAUCUAUUCAUACCUGAAUGCAUACACAUACAUAUGCAUACAAAUAUCUGUAUACAUAUUCUAUAUAGUAUAUUUUUCAAUUUUUGUUAAGAGAAUAACUUUGGAAAAUAAUCUUCAAUCAGAGUAGAAUAAAAAAACAAAAGCACUAAAUGGCAUAUACAUUCCUGCUGUAGAUGUUUACAAAUGCAGGUGCCAGUACCAGAGUUCCUACAAACCAAUCAUGAUACUCCACCUAUAUUACUGCCUAUACUUUGUAGCCCUACAAAGGACUCUAUGACACAUGAGGACUCUAUGAGUCAGAAUUCCUCAUAUAUAAAAUAGGAUAAAAUGCUACCUAUAGUUCAUGCAAUGUUAUGAGAAUUAAAUGAGCUAAUCCAAUUAAAGUGCUUACUCUGAUAGGUUAAUAUUAAAAACAAGUGCUCAUUCCCCAAGACCUAAAUUAAGAGACAUAUUUUGUCAUAGUGGACAAUGUACAUAAAGAAGUGCACAUAAAGGACAGUGAAAUAUGUCUCAGAUAAUAUUAACGUUAAUCAUAAGAUGUAUAAUCAAACUGUUAGAUGUGAAGAAAUAUCAGUUUCUAUCUUUAUAAUUUUUAGAUUUGAGGAAAUAUGAUUCCUUCAUUACAACUACAACUGACCUAUAUCAAAAUAGAAUAAAAAUUAAAAAAUUUUGUUUGUUACAAAAAUGACCUAAUUUAUCAAGUAUUUAUUUACCAAGAUAAAUAUUUAAACAUAUCAUUUGAUAAUAUCUAAGACAAAACAGAAAUAUAGUUGCAAGGUACAAUCAAUAUAAGAUUUAAAAUUCCAUUCCCUUCAUCAUACAAAAAUAGGAAUUGUGUAUAAAAAGCUACAUAAAAAUACUUAGCAUAGCACUGUUCAUAAUCGAAAAUUGGAUAUAUCUAUAUAUCUAAUGUCCCACUGCUGAAGAUCACUUAUGAUACAGGCAUUGAGUGGAAAAUUAUAUAACCAUUUUAAAUGACUUUGAACUAAAUUUUUGGUGGCAAAGGAAAAUGUUCAUAAAGUUGAAAAAAGCAAGGAACAAAAGUGUUCCUAUAGUAUGAUUCAAAGUUUAUAAAACAGUAUAAAUGUGUGUGCAUACACACACAAAAUAAAAACCCUGAAAAUGUAUAUAUCAAAAUAUUACUAUUUCUGGAUAGAGGGAUUAGAGGGAUUUUAAAACUUUCUUCUUGUGUGUAUUUCCCAUAUUCUUUUUUGGUAAUCUAAAAGUUAAAAGAUUUCAAAUUCCUGUUUUAGUUUUUACCCAUAUAUAAAUUUUGUAGCAGGAGGAUUUCAUAGACACUAAGACUCCAAAUAUGAUCCCAUGUUUAAGAAUACAAUUUUUUCGACGCUGGCAUCCCCGGAGCCUGCGGCGGGUGGCUGUGACAACCCCAGCGCUGACGGCGGCUGGGGCAUCACCGCGGGCCUCGACCCCGAAAUGGCGCUGCUGGCUGAACACCUGCUGAAGCCGCUGCCCGCGGACAAUCAGAUCGAGACUAGGCACUUCCUCGAGGCAGUGUCCCACCUGCUGCCCUUCUUCGAUUACCUUGGGUCCCCAGUGUUUACUCCCAUCAAGGCAAACAUAAGCGGCAACAUCACGAAAAUCAAAGCCGUGUACGACACCAACCCAGCCAAGUUCUGGACCCUGCAGAACAUCCUGGAGGUGGAGAAAGAAAUGUAUGGAGCAGAGUGGCCCAAAGUAGAGGCCACACUGGCACUGAUGUGGCUGAAAAGAGGCCUCCACUUCAUCCAGGUCUUCCUCCAGAGCACCUGUGACGGGGAGCGGGACGAGAACCACCCCAAUCUCAUCCGCGUCAACGCCACCAAGGCCUACGAGAUGGCCCUCAAGAAGUACCAUGGCUGGAUCAUGCAGAUCUUCCAGGCAGCACUGUACACAGCCCCCUAUAAGUCCGACAUCCUGAAAGCGCUUUCCAAGGGGCAGAAUGUGACAGAGGAGGAGUGCCUGGAGAAGAUCCGCCUCUUCCUAGUCAACUACACGGCCACCGUCGAUGUCAUCUAUGAGAUGUACACCCAGAUGAUGGCCGAGCUUAACUACAAGGUGUAGGCGUUCUCACCGCUGGACACGCCCCCGACUCGUGGCCACACGGAGAAACAGGCAAACCAGAAUCACUGUGAAUCAAGUCUGUGAGCUGCCCCUGGCUUGCGUCCCCGAGUCCUGCCAGAGUCUGCAGGGGACAGCCCUUGUUUUUUAAGUCUUUUUUUUUUUUUUUUUUGGCCUAUUCUAAAGGACCAAUAAAUAAUGAUCUUACUUUCAAAUCUUGGAAUUUCACGACAGCACAGACUGACUUUAUAGCCUCAUUUCAGCGUGGCAAAAAUCGAUUAACACUUCUAAUGAGUCAAGUCCCAGGGAUUUUUGGUUUUGUUUUGUCGCCAAGGAGGAACACAGCUCUGGGGAAAUGGUGUCGUCCACCUCAUUUUAAAAAUAAGCACCUGAUGGCCGGACACUGUGGCUCACGCCUGUAAUCUCAGCACUUUGGUGGAAG